rnacentral:sRNA from 1 species
UAACAAGGUUUCCGUAGGUGAACCUGCGGAAGGAUCAUUACCGAGUGAGGGCCCUCUGGGUCCAACCUCCCACCCGUGUUUAUCGUACCUUGUUGCUUCGGCGGGCCCGCCUCACGGCCGCCGGGGGGCAUCCGCCCCCGGGCCCGCGCCCGCCGAAGACACACAAACGAACUCUUGUCUGAAGAUUGCAGUCUGAGUACUUGACUAAAUCAGUUAAAACUUUCAACAACGGAUCUCUUGGUUCCGGCAUCGAUGAAGAACGCAGCGAAAUGCGAUAAGUAAUGUGAAUUGCAGAAUUCAGUGAAUCAUCGAGUCUUUGAACGCACAUUGCGCCCCCUGGUAUUCCGGGGGGCAUGCCUGUCCGAGCGUCAUUGCUGCCCUCAAGCACGGCUUGUGUGUUGGGCUCUCGCCCCCCGCUUCCGGGGGGCGGGCCCGAAAGGCAGCGGCGGCACCGCGUCCGGUCCUCGAGCGUAUGGGGCUUCGUCACCCGCUCUGUAGGCCCGGCCGGCGCCCGCCGGCGAACACCAUCAAUCUUAACCAGGUUGACCUCGGAUCAGGUAGGGAUACCCGCUGAACUUAAGCAUAUCAAUAAGCGGAGGAAAAGAAACCAACAGGGAUUGCCUCAGUAACGGCGAGUGAAGCGGCAAGAGCUCAAAUUUGAAAGCUGGCUCCUUCGGGGUCCGCAUUGUAAUUUGCAGAGGAUGCUUCGGGAGCGGCCCCCAUCUAAGUGCCCUGGAACGGGCCGUCAUAGAGGGUGAAAAUCCCGUCUGGGAUGGGGUGUCCGCGCCCGUGUGAAGCUCCUUCGACGAGUCGAGUUGUUUGGGAAUGCAGCUCUAAAUGGGUGGUAAAUUUCAUCUAAAGCUAAAUAUUGGCCGGAGACCGAUAGCGCACAAGUAGAGUGAUCGAAAGAUGAAAAGCACUUUAAAAAGAGAGUUAAACAGCACGUGAAAUUGUUGAAAGGG